AUUUAAGUAGUUUAAAAAAAUAUUGAUUUGUGGAGUCAAAGAUGUAGUGAUACUUUAAAUAAU
rnacentral:tRNA from 1 species